rnacentral:rRNA from 1 species
AGUGAACGCUGGCGGCAUGCCUAACACAUGCAAGUCGAACGGCAAGACAAUAAGCUUUCUCUUCUACCGUUAGCGGGGGGCGGGCGGGUAACGAGUACAUCACCUUCUUCUAUUUCUGGGGUGACUACGGAGAGACGCAGACACUAACAGAUCAUAUAUCGUACCGCUGGAAUCAGUGGAGCUUGACGCUUUUCGUGUCUCUUUUAGCCGAUUCCGUGUCGGAUUAGCUAGUUGGUAAGGUAACGGCUUACCAAGGCGACGAUGCGUAGCUGAUCUGAGAGGAUGAUCAGCCACACUGGAACUGAGACACGGUCCAGACUCCUACGGGAGGCAGCAGUGGGGAAUAUUGGACAAUGGGCGCAAGCCUGAUCCAGCAAUACCGCGUGGGUGAAGAAGGCCUUCGGGUUGUAAAGCCCUUUUGUUGGGAAAGAAAAGCAGCAGGUUAAUACCCCGCUGUUCUGACGGUACCCAAAGAAUAAGCAACGGCUAACUUCGUG